CCUACGGGGGGCAGCAGUGAGGAAUAUUGGUCAAUGGGCGAGAGCCUGAACCAGCCAAGUCGCGUGAAGGAUGACGGCCCUACGGGUUGUAAACUUCUUUUGUCAGGGAGCAAUUGGGUCCACGCGUGGGCUUAGCGAGAGUACCUGAAGAAAAAGCAUCGGCUAACUCCGUGCCAGCAGCCGCGGUAAUACGGAGGAUGCGAGCGUUAUCCGGAUUUAUUGGGUGUAAAGCGCUCGUAGGCGGUAUGUCAAGUCAAGGGUGAAAUCCCCGCGCUCAACGUGGGAACUGCCUUUGAAACUGGCAAACUGGAGUGUGUGAGAGGAUAGUGGAAUUCCUAGUGUAGCGGUGAAAUGCGUAGAUAUUAGGAGGAACACCAGUGGCGAAGGCGGCUUACUGGACUGUAACUGACGUUGAGGCUCGAAAGCGUGGGGAGCAAACAGGAUUAGAUACCCUUGUAGUC
rnacentral:rRNA from 1 species